CUUGUCAGUCAUCGGAUUUGUCACAAAUCUCGACACGUUGAUGCUGAUGAUUCCUGAACUGCUCCAAGUUCAGCAGUAUGUGCUCACCUACAUGUUCAGCCAGGAUCACUUGGAGCUCCUAUCUAAUUCAAUCAGAGCAUCAGGGGGCUGGAAUAACAAUCCAACGACACGUCAGUUCCAGGCAAUCUUCCGCUGUCUGAUGGUUCGGUGUGGUGUUUCACCUGGUGAGACAGGCAAUGUGGCAGCCCAAGACGACACUGUGUCCCUGUCUGCUGUGGAGAUGUCCUCUGCUGAAACACUGCUGAAGAACACCCAUCCCCAUUCGCCAACAUUUCAGCCCUCGUGUGUGACCACAGUUAUCUCCCCACUCGGUUUGGUGGUCUGGUGGAAAAUGCUCUGGUCUACAUAGCAGGGUUUGUAGUCCGGCAGAUUUUUCGAAAGCUGUCCUGUGAGGUGUGCCGUGCGAGCUUGGUCAGAGAUGCUGUACCAGCUUCAUUUGACGAGAGCUACCACCUUCUAGCCCUGAAAAACCAUGGCGGCCUAGUAAUUACAUCACAAGGCAUAGUAAAGGUGCUGAGAGCUGCAGAGAGGGUGAUCCGCCGAGCGUCAAUAACACAAGCUCCUGAGGUGUCGACAGUCACACACAUCGUCUGAGAGGAGAUUGGAACGGAUGAUGUUUUUUUGCUUGGGGAACACAUUGAAGAGACACAGUUUGGCAUUGACAACCAUCAUUCAGACUUGUUGUCAUUGGUUGUGUCUGUGUUUCUCAAGCUAAGGCUGCACCACAUUGCCAAACUCACCACUCUGGAACUGCAAAAAGGGAGCACGAGAAAGAAGCUCUGCAAGACCGUCCUAUUCCAGGGGUUUGUGUGUGUGUGUGUAUGUGAUAGUUAGUUAGUUAGUUAGACCCUCUUUGGUGCAAACACCCGGCGUUCUGUUGAAGUUAUUUGUGUGCAUGUGUGUGUGCUUGCAAACGUUCAAUUCAUUUUAUUUCUAAUUCUAUAUUGUUUUUUAACGUAUUAAAUGUCUGACUUUACUACUACUAUCUGUUUCUGCUUCUCUAUCAAAAUUAUAGUGUGUGAUUUGCAAAAUACCUAUCAUAGUCUAUAUCACAUCAUAUAUCAGAAUAUAACAUUACUGUUAAGUCCACAAUGAAUAUUAAAAUACGCCGAACUAUGUGGCCUGUGUCAUAGCUGCAUGUAUGACCUUUGCAGC